CAAAUUUUUUGGAACCAAACAAGUGACUUAACACUCACACGAUUGAGACACUCUCGCCAACUUCAAACCCUCAAGAACAACAGGGAAGGUCACACGAUUUUACCAAACCCUCAAGAACAACAAACCCUCAAUUCCUCUCUCGAUUCGAAACUCACUCAAUCACGACAAUCCCUCACUCUCACUCGUCCUCUCUCACUCGUUCUCUCAAUUUCGUCAUCUCUCUCGCGAACCCUAGGUCCCAAAUCGAAGUUCAGUGAAACAAAUUGAAGCUCGUCUCAGAUCGAGAGAGUUUGUAUGAAGACGAGGAGUCUGAUCCGCACCAAAGGCAACUUGCCGCACUACUUUUAUCAAAGGUCUUCUGUUACUUGGGUGAGCUGAAUGACUCACUAUCCUAUGCCCUUGGAGCUGGUCCUCUGUUCGAUGUUUCAGAGGAUUCCGACUUUGUCUAUACUCUUCUAGCUAUAGAUAAAUAUGCUAGUUUCAAGUCUAAGGCGGCAGCAGAGUCAAAUGAUGAAUCUACCAAAGUGGACCCUAGACCGGAAGCAAUCGUGGAGAGGCUGUUCGAUAAGUGUAUAGUGGAUGGAAAAUACCAACAAGCUAUGGGAACUGCUAUUGAAUGCAGGAGAUUGCGCCUUGUUUACUAUACGAAUGGCAGCAGGAACCGUGUUAUUGUUUCCGGCGGUGAUUUGUUUGUCGUGCGCUGCUGGGUUUUUUCUGGAGUUGUUUGUUGUUUUCCUGCUGCUUUUAGUUUUCUGGUGUGUUUAUAGUGUUUGCGCUGCUUUCUGUUUUUGCUGUAAGGGGUUUUGGUUUUAGGUGGCUUCUCCUUG